GCCAGGCGCAGUGGCGCGUGCCUGUAGUCCCAGCUACUCGGGAGGCUGAGGCUGGAGGUUCUCUUGAGCCCAGGAGUUCUGGGCUGUAGUGCGCUAUGCCGAUCGGGUGUCCAUACUAAGUUCGGCAUCAAUAUGGUGACCUCCCGGGAGCGGGGAACCACCAGGUUGCCUAAGGAGGGGUGAACCAGCCCAGGUCGGAACCGGAGCAGAUCAAAACUCCCGUGCUGAUCAGUAGUGGGAUCGCACCUGUGAAUAGCCACUGCACUCCAGCCUGGGCAACAUAGCAAGACCCCGUCUCU
ensembl:misc_RNA Metazoa_SRP Metazoan signal recognition particle RNA